GUCGAGAAUCUUUCACAAUGGGGGAAACCCUGAUGGAGCGACGCCGCGUGGGGGAUGAAUGGCUUCGGCCCGUAAACCCCUGUCAUCUGCGAUCAAACCUUUUCGGUGAACAGCCGAAAAGCUGAUAGUAGUAGAAGAGGAAGGGACGGCUAACUCUGUGCCAGCAGCCGCGGUAAUACAGAGGUCCCAAGCGUUGUUCGGAUUUACUGGGCGUAAAGGGUGCGUAGGUGGCGGAGCAAGUUCGAUGUGAAAUCUCUGAGCUCAACUCAGAAACGGCAUUGAAUACUGCUUUGCUCGAGGGUUGGAGGGGGGACUGGAAUUCUCGGUGUAGCGGUGAAAUGCGUAGAUAUCGAGAGGAACACCAGUGGCGAAGGCGAGUCCCUGGACAACUCCUGACACUGAGGCACGAAAGCUAGGGGAGCAAACAGGAUUAGAUACCCGGGUAGUCC
rnacentral:rRNA from 1 species